rnacentral:rRNA from 1 species
UGGCUUAWUUUGACUCAACGCGGGAAAACUCACCAGGUCCAGACAUAGGAAGGAUUGACAGAUUAAUAGCUCUUUCUUGAUUCUAUGGGUGGUGGUGCAUGGCCGUUCUUAGUUGGUGGAGUGAUCUGUCUGGUUAAUUCCGUUAACGAACGAGACCUUAUUCUACUAAAUAGAUGAUUGUUAGGUAUACUCCUAACACAUUUUCUUCUUAGGGGGACGCUACGUGUUUAACGUAGGGAAGUUUGAGGCAAU